GGGGGAGCACAGAAGAAUCGAGAGGUAGAAGGAUAUUUGGGAAAGAAAAAGGGAGAUAGAAGAUGGCGGCCAAUCAAGGUGAUUGAAGGAAAUUGUCUAUUCUACCUCAUGGUUCUCCAGUUCUUCUUCUAUUUCAAUAGGAUUGAGGCAGUGAGGAUAUUCGAAAGGCAAAAUGUCUAAAUUAGCUUGAAGCCUAUAAUUCGGUAAUAUUGGUCCUUGAUAGUUUGAGGAGCCUGGUGAUUUUAGAGUUAAAGCUACACGACAUAUUGAUAAGUCAAUUUGAUAAAACACGAUGUAAUUUUGGGCCCAUUGCACUACAUUUUUAUAAAUAUUUGAUUUUGUCGUAUAUUUUGUAGUAAUUCAUAGUCAGCCUUGGUGAUAGAUUUGACAUUUAGUCAACAUCUAUCAUCGGCGCAUGUCACGUUUCGGGUCCACUAGGGUGAUUCGGAACUGGUCGGGUCAAAACCAGUGUUCACAAGUGAUGAACGGAAAAUAAUGACUAAUAAUUCAAAAAUUA